rnacentral:rRNA from 1 species
CGGUAAUUCCAGCUCCAAUAGCGUAUACUAAAGUUGUUGCAGUUAAAAAGCUCGUAGUUGGAUUUCUGCGGGGACGGAGCGGCCGGUCGCAACUUGCGACUCGAGCUAGCGCUUUCCCCGCAUCCUGCCGCGAACCGUGCUACCAUUAGCUUGGUGGCGCUGGGGAUCGGCUCGAUUACUUUGAGAAAAAUAGAGUGUUCAAAGCAGGCCACACGCCUUGAAUAAGUUAGCAUGGAAUAAUGACUAAGGACUUCGGUUCUAUCUUGUUGGUGUUCGGGACUGAAGUAAUGAUUGAUAGGGACAGUUGGGGCGGUCUGUAUUCCAAAGCGAGAGGUGAAAUUCUUAGACCUUCGGAAGACAAACAGCUGCGAAAGCGUUCCGCAAGGAUGUUCCCUUUGAUCAAGAACGAAAGUUGGGGGAUCGAAGACGAUCAGAUACCGCCGUAGUCUCAACUAUAAACUAUACCAGCUAGGGAUCGGUCAACGUUUAAUCAUUCGACUUGAUCGGCACCUUAUGAGAAAUCAAAGCAUCUGGGUUCCGGGGGGAGUAUGGUCGCAAGGCUGAAACUUAAAGGAGUUGACGGAAGGGCACCACCAGCCGUGGAGCCUGUGGCUUAAUUCGACUCAACACGGGAAAACUUACCAGGUCCAGACAUAGUAAGGAUUGACAGAUUGAUAGCUCUUUCUUGAUUCUGUGGGUGGUGGUGCAUGGCCGUUCUUAGUUGGUGGAGUGAUUUGUCUGGUUAAUUCCGUUAACGAACGAGACCCCAGCCUGCUAAAUAGCGCGGCUGAGCUUUGCUCGGUGCGAGCUUCUUAGAGGGACUAUGAUGCGCGAUAGCACAUGGAAGUUUGGGGCAAUAACAGGUCUGUGAUGCCCUUAGAUGUUCUGGGCCGCACACGGGCUACACUGGCGCCUGCAACGAGCAUAUCAGCUGGCCCGAGAGGGUCUUGGCUAAUCUUUUGAACCGGCGCCGUGCUUGGGAUUGACCAUUGCAAUUGUUGGUCAUGCAACGAGGAAUGCCUUGUAAACGCGAGUCAUCAGCUCGCAUUGAAUACGUCCCUGCCCUUUGUACACACCGCCCGUCGCUCCUACCGAUGAAUGUUCCGAUGAAAUUUUCGGAGAGCGCCAGAGAACGGGGCUCUGCCUUGCAGAUCUGGAGGCUCAAAGUCACUUAAAUCUGAACAUUUCGAGGAAGGAGAAGUCGUAACAAGGUAGCCG